AGUGAACGCUGGCGGUAGGCCUAACACAUGCAAGUCGAACGGCAGCACAGUAAGAGCUUGCUAUUACGGGUGGCGAGUGGCGGACGGGUGGGGAAUACAUCGGAAUCUACUUUUUCGUGGGGGAUAACGUAGGGAAACUUACGCUAAUACCGCAUACGACCUACGGGUGAAAGCAGAGGAUCUUCGGACCUUGCGCGAUUGAAUGAGCCGAUGUCGGAUUAGCUAGUUGGCGGGGUAAAGGCCCACCAAGGCGACGAUCCGUAGCUGGUCUGAGCGGAUGAUCAGCCACAGUGGAACUGAGACACGGUCCAGACUCCUACGGGAGGCAGCAGCGGGGAAUAUUGGACAAUGGGCGGAAGCCUGAUCCAGCCAUACCGCGCGGGUGAAGCAGGCCUUCGGGUUGGAAAGCCCUUUUGUUGGUAAAGAAAAGCAGCAGGUUAAUACCCCGCUGUUCUGACGGUACCCAAAGAAUAAGCACCGGCUAACUUCGUG
rnacentral:rRNA from 1 species